ensembl:lncRNA
UGGGUCAUAAAGCCAUCUUCCCAUAGAAUGUAUCGUUCUAUGAUCCUACCUGCCUGGUAUAUUGGGUCAUAAAGCUGUAUCAAUACAGUUGUAUUCAUUGGGUCCUUGUCAACAGCCUCUAAUUUGACUGCACCUGCAGAUGCUCCACUAUAGAAAUACAAAACAAAGCCUCAGCAGCACGUUGUAGGAGUGAUGAACAUCACCCAGUAGUGUCAGUACUGGGAAACAUCUGCUCCCAUUACUGCUGAUCAUUCAUCCAGAUCUCUCUGAAGAACAGAGCAGCACUAGUCUAGGCCUGUCAUGAUACCAAGCAGGUCUACUAAAUGGAACUCUUAUUCCCUACAUAGUGCACUACUUUAGACCAGAACCCUAUGGUUCAUAGUGCACCCAUAGUGCACUACACAGGGAAUAAGUGCCAUUUGUGUCUCCUUCUCUAUACAGGUCAACACAGGGCCUUCUCUAUACAGGGCCUUCUCUAUACAGGGCCUUCUCUAUACAGGGCCUUCUCUAUACAGGGCCUUCUCUAUACAGGUCAACACAGGGCCUUCUCUAUACAGGGCCUUCUCUACAGGUCAACACAGGGCCUUCUCUAUACAGGUCAACACAGGGCCCUUCUCUAUACAGGUCAACACAGGGCCUUCUCUAUACAGGGCCUUCUCUAUACAGGUCAACACAGGGCCUUCUCUAUACAGGUCAACACAGGGCCCUCUCUAUACAGGUCAACACAGGGCCCUUCUCUAUACAGGUCAACACAGGGCCCUUCUCUAUACAGGUCAACACAGGGCCUUCUCUAUACAGGUCAACACAGGGCCUUCUCUAUACAGGUCAACACAGGGCCCUUCUCUAUACAGGUCAACACAGGGCCCUUCUCUAUACAGGUCAACACAGGGCCUUCUCUAUACAGGUCAACACAGGGCCCUCUCUAUACAGGUCAACACAGGGCCCUUCUCUAUACAGGUCAACACAGGG